AUACGGAGGAUGCGAGCGUUAUCCGGAUUUAUUGGGUUUAAAGGGUGCGUAGGCGGCCUGUUAAGUCAGUGGUGAAAUCCUGCGGCUCAACCGUAGAACUGCCAUUGAUACUGACAGGCUUGAAUUCAGUUGAGGUAAGCGGAAUGUGCAGUGUAGCGGUGAAAUGCUUAGAUAUUGCACAGAACACCGAUUGCGAAGGCAGCUUACCAAACUGCGAUUGACGCUGUUGCACGAAAGCGUGGGGAGCGAACAGGAUUAGAUACCAUGGUAGUCCACGCUGUAAACGAUGUUCACUAGCUGUUUGCGAUAUAUUGUAAGCGGCAAAGCGAAAGCAUUAAGUGAACCACCUGGGGAGUACGUCGGCAACGGUGAA
rnacentral:rRNA from 1 species